CCUACGCGUGGCAGCAGUGAGGAAUAUUGGUCAAUGGGCGGAAGCCUGAACCAGCCAAGUCGCGUGAGGGAAGACGGUCCUAUGGAUUUUAAACCUCUUUUGUCGGGGAGCAAAAGACGCCACGCGUGGCGUUCCGAGAGUACCCGAAGAAAAAGUAUCGGCUAACUCCGUGCCAGCAGCCGCGGUAAUACGGAGGAUGCGAGCGUUAUCCGGAUUUAUUGGGUUUAACGGGUGCGCAGGCGGAAGAUCAAGUCAGCGGGAAAAUUGAGAGGCUCAACCUCUUCGAGCCGUUGAAACUGGUUUUCUUGAGUGAGAGAGAAGUAUGCGGAAUGCGUGGUGUAGCGAUGAAAUGCAUAGAUAUCACGCAGAACUCCGAUUGCGAAGGCAGCAUACCGGCGCUCAACUGACGCUCAUGCACGAAAGUGUGGGUAUCGAACAGGAUUAGAUACCCCUGUAGUC
rnacentral:rRNA from 1 species